CCAUUGAAACAUGGAGACCAAAAUAAAUAAUUGAAAAAUUUGGGAGUCAAAACUGCAGGCUAAAAUUUAAUGAUCAAAAUGACUAAUCCUUGGUGUUUUCAGCAUCUAAGAGCAGUUUUAACUUCUCCAUCUUUAUCGGUAACCAAAAACGAAGCACCCGGUUACGAGAGGACUCCUUUGCAGAUUGUAUUCCCCGAGCAAGAGAAAUGGCAACACUACAAGCCAAGAAUAACGACCCUCUUCUUGACAUGCAUGUUGAUGUUGCUGGAUCACAAGGAGCAGUUGGUGGCCAGCAUGCUAUUGCGGGUGACACCAGUGGAAGAUGGCUCUGCCAAUUUAGUAUGAAAGGUGUUUUCAUCUAUAUCCCUAUAUUAAUUACAGUUCAUUACCCCUUUUUUAGUUGUUAACUUUGAUAUUGCAAACAGUGUGCAACCGAAUUGCAAGAAAUGCAAUUCCAAGAAACAACUUACCACAUCAGCCUGCAAUUUGGAGUAUAACAAGGUUUCCAAAACUACACAAACAUUAUACCGGCAUCAUCAGCCAUCAACUUGAAAUUCCUAGUGUCAAACACGAUACCGACCCACAAAUUUUAUUGGCUGAAGAUGAUAUUCCUAGCAUUAAACCGGAAACAGACUCUCCAUUUUCAUUAGCUGAUAUUGAUAUUCCUAGCAUGGAAACAACUCAAGUAGAGAAAGGAACUUCGAUUAGCAAAGAUUUUGUUUAUCAAGAAACAUUUUUUAAGACACACACGGUUUCAUAUGCCUAUCAGAUGUCAGUUUUGCCACAUAACCUGCAGGGCCUCAAAAUUGAGAGAUGUAAAUUAUUAGAUGUUCUUCCAAAUGAUUUCAUAGAUAGAUUCCCCAUACUAAAAGUAUUGCAUUUGAUUGAUUGCUCUUCUCCCAUGUCAUUCCCUUAUCCUGCUUCCUUGACAAAACUUUACAUUUGUAACUGUAGAAAUUUUGAAUUGCUUCCAUCGUUAGAUUCAAGAGAGAACUUUUCCUUCUCGAACUUUUGGACAUUAGUAGUAGUUGUGAUUCCCUCACUACCUUCACCUUAAACUUGUUCCCCAAGCUAAAAACUCUUACUAUAAGUGAUUGUCCAAAUUUUGGAUCUUUUAAUAUUACAGGGGUGUUUAGAGGUGAUCUAGCACUUAAGUCUUUAGAAGUAAGAGAUUGCCCAAGGUUUAAGUCUUUUUCUGAUGAAGUAUUCCAUACAGUUGAGUCCUUAACCCUUUCCAAUUGUUCGAAUCUUUUCGAAUUGCCUAAUUUUGCUACAUCUUUCACCUCUCUCACUUCAUUAUACUUACUCAGAUGUCCUAAUAUUGAGUCUUUCCCAAAUGGGGGUUUUCCUUCAAGCUUAAGUAGACUUUCUAUUGUCUAUUGUGACAAGCUGACAUCACAAAAGGAUUGGAGAUUAGAAAAUUUAGAGUCCCUCGAUUUUUUAAAUAUUAAAGGUGAAUGCAUAGGCUUAGAGUCAUUUCCCAGUGAAAAUCUCCUUCCGAAAAACAUUACUUUUCUAAGCAUCGGUUCACUAAAGAGCCUCAGAAAGCUAGAUUCCAAGGGGUUUCAACAACUGAAUGCUCUUCUUAUACUUACAAUUAGUUGUUGCGACAGAUUGCGAUACUUGCCUGAACAGGGGCUUCCCUCCUCCCUAAAUCGUCUCCAUUUGCAUAAAUGCCCAAUGUUGACGUCGAAGCUUAAACCCAAGCUUGAAUCCAAGACGGGAAAGUAUUGGCGCAUGGUAGCUCACAUCCCAAACAUAGAAAUUGAUGACUGAAUAUUCUCUUGAGCUGGGCAGUUGUAGCCCUGGUGUUGCUGCAAAGGAAGAAGUACAUGUGUAGUUUAGUAAAGAGAAAGAUGGGAUGCUUUUUGUAUGAAUGGAAAUUGAUCUUGAAAUGCUCUACUUGUCAAUUCCUGCAAAUAUUUGAAAGGUAAAGCUUGUGCGUUUUCUUCAUUUCAUUUGCCUCAGUUUAGUUUCUGUUAAUAGAGAGGUAUUAGUUUAUGGUUUGUUUUCACUUGUUUUUUUUAUAUAGUAUGAUUUGUAAAUUUAUUUUUGUUAUUUACUUUUAUUCAUGUUAUUCAUAUUAUUCAAAUAAUGCAACACUAAUUUUUGUAUACACGUGCGGACGCACGAGUAUGUUACUAGUUUUAUAUAUUACCUAAAGUAUACUUCCGGUAUUAUGGCAACUAUAUAUAGACCAAAACAGUAACCAGUAUGAUCACCUUUUGAUCGUACCAUUUCUUCAUAUUUUCCGGUUUGCAGUUGAACAAAAUCGGAAGUACAUUUUCGGUUUUCUGUCUGUGUAUAUUUUCCAGCAGAAUUGAUGAUUAUGUUGUCUAUUACAUUAGGUAUGGUGCAUCCCGAUGACACUCUCAAACCUAAUGUGUCUCAAGUUGUUUCACCUCUCGUAUCUCCUAUUGUAACUAAGGUGGUAGAUAUUCGUGAGCAUUUUGAAAAUGGAAAUGAGUUUGAAUUACGUGACGACAUGUUGCAUUGGAUUCGAACAGAGGCAACAAAACUAAGAUUUGGUGUUGUGAUUGGAAGGUCUGAUAAUGGUGCGUCUAGAAGAAAUGCAUUUGUGACUUUGACAUGCGAAAGAAGUGGAAAAUAUAUAUGUUGUUUCCAAAAAUUGAAACGCGACGACACCAGUUCAAGAAAAUGUGAAUACCCGUUUAAGUUUUAUGGUUAUCAUUUGGCAAAUAACAAAUGGAGAUUUAAUGUGAUAUGUGGUUUACACAACCAUGAUCUAAGUCAAAAGUUGGUCGGUCAUCCAAUUGCACGUCAGCUUCUUCUGAAUGAGAAGAUAUGUGUUUUUGACAUGACUUUGAGCUUAGUACCGCCCAAGAACAUUCUUGCAACCUUGAAGCCCAAAAGACCCGGGAAUACAUCAAAUAUCAAUCAAGUUUACAAUAGACACUAUCAUUCCAAAUUAGCGCUUAGGGGGGGUCGAACCGAAAUCCAACACCUCAUGAAACUUCUUAAUGAAAACGAUUAUGUUUGUAGGUACUGACGAGGUGACGAUGGAGUUACGGUAAGAGAUAUUUAUUGGACUCAUCCCGACUCCAUUAAAUUUCUCAAUACGUUUCUCACCAUGCUCAUAAUUGAUUCAACGUAUAAGAUAAAUAAGUACAGACUUCUGUUGUUGGAAAUUUUUGGUGUUACGUCGACUGAGAAGAUGUAUUCUACUGGUUUUGCAUUUCUAGAGUGCGAAAAAUAGGACAACAUUUCACGGGCUUUGGAGGUUUGUAGGUCAAUAUUGAAGGAUCAAGAUGAUAUGUCGAAAGUCAUUGUUACUGAUCGGUAAAAUAGCAAGUGUACUAUUUUUCCUCUGUAGUAAUAAAGGGGAAACUCCCCGAAUGUCGAUCUCAAGGACUGCGUGAUACUAUAGAUUUGUGUUUUAAUUCAAUUAAACAAAAGCCUAAGGGGUUUUGGUUUGGAAAAUUAUGAAUUAAAUUGCAAAUAAAAGUAGAAGAUUGUUUUGGCCAAAUAUGAGUAACGUGUCAAGGUAGGUGUGUGAAUUAACAUGUAACAACUCUGAAUCCUUAUUUUAAUAACAACUUAUAAAUCAUCAACUAUCGGUUCUCAAGAAUGUUUACUCCUAAUUCCUUAGCGGACAAACCUUUAAUCGUUCAUCCCAAGUCCUAAUUCCUUAGUGAAUUAUGAUGAAAUUAAAUAAUUGAGUUAUCAAGAAUGUUCCGAUUACUAUAGGGUAUCCUUAUUCCUAGGCAAUAUCACUAUAGUAUAAUUGUAGAAAAACACUAACAAUAGCGGUCCAACCUAUUUGCUAGUCAUACAUCAAUCCUGUUGGUCCGACGAGGAAAGCAUCAGAAACAUUGUACAAUUAAAUUGAAUAUGAAAGACAAAUAGAUUAUUGAAAUUGGGAAAUCAAACUCAUUACAGAUGUUAAUUAAGGACACCCCCUAACAUUGGGGGGUUUAGCUACUCAUAGUAUUCAAAGAAAACAAAAUAUAAAAUAGAGACAUUACAAGAAUUGAGAUGAAAGUUGAUCUUCAAUCGAUUCCGUUCAUGAAAACAUUCUUCUCUCCCAAACCCUUAUUUUCUCCAAUUAUCAAUAGUGUAUUUUUCUCUCUGCCAAAAAGUUCCUUCAUUCUUCUUCAAAAUUCAAUUAAAUAGCCCACAUUCACUUAGGUCGGUUGGAAGUACCCAAAACGCCCCACACCUUAAUCCAUGGAUAAAAUAUGAAAAAAAAUCAUGAAAUCAGCAUAACAUGCUGACACGGUCCGUUCCAGCCAAGACGGGCACCCGUGUCAGACUUCUGUCAUCUUAAAAGUUGACUUUUUGUUCCAGGCCUCCUGACACAACCCGUGUCAAGUAACACGGCUCGUGUCAGCCCUUGACUACAUAAUUUGGCUUUUAGAUCUUCAUCAAAGUUGUAACCCUUUUCGUUAGAGAAAUUUUGCCGCCAGAACCACGUCAUUCCGAGUUACGAAGCUCUAGUUAUGAUCAAAAUACUACACAUUUGUCACGAUGAGAAACAUGCUGAAAAUUUCCAGAUCUCACACUUACUGACACGGGCCGUGUCAGCCCCUGACUUUCAUCUCUUUUGCAUUUUCUUGGCCACGCUUCAUCCUGACAUGGCUAGUGUCAGGUGACACAGGUGGUCGUGUCAGGCCUCCUAUAGCAUAAUUUUUCACUACCUUGAAAACUCAACUUUUUGUACUUUUUCGCAUUGAUUUGUCUCGAUUUAUUCCUUCGAGCCUGCAAAUAGUACAAUACACAACCAAAGCAUAAAAUGUAAAAGAAUAAAGUAAAACACUUGACAAUAUAAAGAAAUGAUAACUAAAAUCAACGGUAAAUAAAUGUGUAAAAACCACCGAUCAAACUCCCCCAAACUUAAACCGUUGCUUGACCUCAAGCAACAAUUACAAGAGCAUAAUCAAAUUCACAGCAUACCGGUACUCAUAUGUGAGACUUCUAUUUGCAUUACAAGAGGUAGUUCGUUCAAUAUUCACACGACGCGAAGAGUUUCGCAAGAAAACUAUAAACCUGAGCUUCCUUUCGGAUACCUCUUCAACUAUGCUUUGUACUUAAGUCUUUUCUUCCAAUUUUCCUCCUUUUUCAUUCAAACAAUCAAAUUAAGGCAAUGGAAUUUAUGAUGAUCAUCAUAUGCAUGAGACUAAUCAAGGCUUUUUGAUUUUUUUAGGCGCCAAAUAAGUAACAAUUAAAGAUAACGAUGAAUUUUUCAAAACUUUUCAGUUUAUGUAUUGUCCUUAUUUGGACGACGUUUGGGGAUCAACCUCUUUUGGUGAUGGCUAACCGAUUUGUAAAGUGGCCAUUUUUCUCAAACUAUGUUAUAGUUAUUAAACUUGUGAAUUUAGAUGAUAAUAUGAUAUUGGAAGAACGAAAUUAUAUCUAAUAAUGGAGUUGGGGCAGAAUUGAAACAAUGUUAAAAUGAAGAAAGAAAUUGAUGAAAAAGAGUAGAAAUGGGGCGCCACACUCUUUCUAUGAUUUAGAAAGGAUGAUAAGCCUUAAGUGAAGAUCACCACAAGAAACUUGGUUUCUUGAUAAGAUCAAAAACUUGGUCCAAUCCAGAACCAAAUGAGCAAAGCUCUCAAAAUCACACAAAGUGUUUAACAAAAUUCAACUUCCUCUUUCAUUCAUAUUUAGCUCCCUAUUUAUAGGUAAAAGGUAGCUUACAAUAAUAACUCAGGAAUUUCUACAACUUCAGCCUACUAACUAGUCAAUAAUGGUUUGGAAAAGAAAGGUCACACACUUAAAGGUAGUGGAGAAAGUAGAUAUUAAUUGCCUUGCGGAAUAAUAGCAAUUUAUAGCCACUUUUAUUAAUGCAUCCCACCUUUCUCUUUCUCCUUCCAUCAAAGCUUGAUCUUUUGAUUUCUUGAGCCCAUUAUUCACUUAGAAACAUAAAAGUCACGAAAUUUCUAAGCUUUAAGAGCUUUAGAAUAUUUAAAAAUACAUUAAAAAUUAAAAACAAGUGUUUUGGGCUAAAAUUUGACAAGAUGGACCCUAACACAUUUUAUUUGGAGCACUUUUUUUAUAUGUUUCCUUCCACAUGCUUAGUGAACUCGUGAUCUCAUUAUUCUCUGGUAUCAGAGCACAAAAUUCAACUUUCUCUUUCAUUCAUAUUUAGCUCCCUAUUUAUAGUUAAAAGGUAGCUUACAAUAAUAACUCAGGAAUUUCUACAACUUCAGCCCACUAACUAGUCAAUAAUGGUUUGGAAAAGAAAUGUCACACACUUAAAGGUAGUGGAGAAAGUGGAUAUUAAUUGCCUUGAUGAAUAAUAGCAAUUUAUAGCCACUUUUAUUAAUGCAUCCCACAUUUCUCUUUCUCCUUCCAGCAAAGCUUGACCUUUUGAUUUCUUGAGCCCAUUACUCACUUAGAAACAUAAAAGUCACGAAAUUUCUAAUCUUUAAGAGCUUUAGAAUAUUUAAAAACACAUUAAAAAUUAAAAACAAGUGUUUUGGGCCAAAAUUUGACAAGCUGGGCCCUAACACAUUUUAUUUGGAGCACUUUUUUAUAUGUUUCCUUCCACAUGCUUAGUGAACUCAUGAUCUCAUCAUUUGGGCUGAAUAAUCGGGUGAGGGCUAUCCAUCUUAGCGGGCCGACUGCCUUUUACCGUCUUUUCAUCAUUUGGUGCCAAACUUAUUUAUUUCUCAACCACUCAUACAUGCAUGUGAAUCUGGAUUAUGCCAGAAUGUCAAAAUAAACUACUCAAGGAGUACUUCUCAGGAUACAAGCACUAUGGUACAAAUCUACACGUUGGACUUGUAUCUCUUUUUAGGAAACUGUAGCGGGGAAAAUCUGAUAUCGAAGCCAUGGGAUUGACUCGAAUCAAUAUUCCGUUUUGAAAUCGCCACCGCGCUUUAUUUUUUCAAAGGAAAAGGGAAAAGAACGAAAAACCCAAAGUUUUGUUUUUUUAAAACAAGAAAGAGAACUCAGGUUCGGGUGUUGAUUAUAUGAGGGGAAGGUUUAAAGCACCCCUCAUAUCCGUGGUACUCCACGGGAACCUUUUUGAAAAUCUGUGUCGUGUGUGCUAAAAAAGGGUUUGUUUUAUUUUUAAAAUAAGCUCGGCAAAGCGUUAAGCUUUGGGCCUACAUACCUCCUCGGUGCAAUGGAGAAGUCAGAGCUAAUGUAGUUCCGCUUAAAAGGGGAAACAUUUUAAAACGAAUAAACACUUUGUUGUCAUUAGAGAGAAAUACUCAGCCAUUGAUCUUGAGCAUGAGAACAAACAAGUUCUUUGCAUCGCAAAUGAAAGAAGGGCGCCAACUCGGAUAAAAUCAACGAGUAUGCCACUAGCUCUCUCACGCGGAAAAGAUCUCGUUAUUAUCAAUCAAUUUCAAAAUCGUGGGGUAUAACCACUCGUUUUGACAAUUAACGGUGUCUAAACUUUUGAAGAAAAGCCACUAAGGGCGAAAGAUAUUUUUAAGAAAAAAAGUUUUGAAAAGGGUUUGCAAACAUAAGAAUGUUUUUGGAAAAAGAGAGAAGAUUUUGAAAAUUUAAGAAUGGGAGGAGAUGAAGAGGCUAUCCUAUUGCGUAAAAUAAAAGCUAAGGAAAGAAACGGUCUGACCGAAAUAAGAAGCCAACACUUGACAUUAAGAGUCGAUGUAGUUUUCCCAUCCUUUGGAUUUAUCAAUACCAACACAUUAACACUUGGGGAUCCAGAUGAACUUAUUGUCUUAGCACCACUUUGCAUUAAGCACAUUAAGAUUCUGACGAAAAUCGGGCAGAGUAACGGCUGUUUUCGGGUAAAAUCCUUAUAUCAAUGCCUUGGAAUUAACCAUCAAGGGCUUUCAAGGAAAUACCUGCACACAUAAACAUACAACAGAACAAAGCCAGACAGACAGAACAAUCACAGGGUAGUAAUAGAAUGAGUCCAGAGGUACUAGGUCCAUAAGUCCGAAUCUCCAAAAUGCUAGGGAUAGUAACCGAUAGUCCAAAGAGAGCCUUAUGUAUUUUUUAGAUUUUCGAUUGUUUAUUAGUGUUUUAGCCAAAAAAGGUAAAGUAUGGUCCAAGUGGACAAAAAGAAAAUGGCGGAAACAUAAACAUAUGUCCAAAUGGACAAAAGGAAAAAACGGCGGAAAGUAAAUAUGAUGAAAUGAUAAAAUAAAGCGAUAAAGCUAGAAAUAUAAAGAGCGGUAUAGUAAAGGUGCAGAAAUUAAAGUCAAUUGUUAGAUGUUAAAGAUAACCAUCUUGAAACUUGUCAAGUAUGUUAUCAAAGUUAGUAACGAAGAUCGAUGGUGAGUGAAGGAUGUACUCGGAUUUAAAUUCAAUGGGGUUUAUCAGAAGCUUGAUAAAAUCAUAGCGACUACACGAUAAAAACCUCCACAAGUCUUAAAUCAACCGCAUACAAUUCUCUUCCAUAUUUGAUCUUUUUUAUUCGGGACACGAAAUAUUGCGCUAUGUUAAGCAGAUCGCCAAGUGAUUUAUGUAGAAAUCACCUUACAACGAGGCCGGUCAAAACUUUAUGUGCUAAUGCAUGCGAGAAGAACGAUAUGUAGAUCGUUUUCCGAAAGCAAUACCGCACGAAAAGAAAAAAUGGUGAGUGAUCUAGUCUUCACCAAGAAUCCAUAAGAAUUCUCAAGGCAUUAAGACUUUCAUCGACCAAAAUAAAAAGAAGUAAAAGAUGGAACCACAUUAAAGGCUCCUUUCAUCCAUAAUUUCAAUCACUUAAUAUUGCGGAUUUGGAUUCUCAUCCUAUCGACGCCCUAAGUCCAUUGAAAUUAG